ACCCUUGUGGAGGAGGACGCCGAAGGUGGGGCUAAUGACUGGGGUGAAGUCGUAACAAGGUAGCCGUACCGGAAGGUGCGGCUGGAUCACCUCCUAACAGGGAGACAACAAAAUGUUUAAUAUUAUUAUUUUGUCACCUUAGGUCGAUCGGUAUCUCACAUUUUUAACUUAUUAAAAAUUUCAUUUCCUAAGUUUUUCUAGGUCACACCCAUUAUUUUUCCUGGGCCAUUAGCUCAGGUGGUUAGAGCGCACCCCUGAUAAGGGUGAGGUCCCUGGUUCAAGUCCAGGAUGGCCCAUAUCUCUAUGUUGGGGGUAUAGCUCAGUUGGUAGAGCGCCUGCUUUGCAAGCAGGAUGUCAGCGGUUCGAGUCCGCUUACCUCCACUGAUUACCACCUCUUCCAUAAUCUGUAAGGAAAUUUUUUGAGUUGUGAUCAAAUUCUGAACGAAUCUAGCUUCCUAAUGGAAUCAUUAAGAUGCUGGACUCAUUGAAUGAAUUUUCAUUGUUUUCAGAGAACCUUGACAACUGCAUAGAUUAUUUUUAAAGACAAUAAGCAUCUUUAUUGAUGCAGAUUUAUUAUUUGUGCGAAUGCAUUAAUAACAAUUCUAUUAAGCUGAUGCUUCAAUUAUGAAGUUAUUGGUCAAGCUACAAAGGGCUCACGGAGGAUACCUAGGCACACAGA
rnacentral:misc_RNA from 1 species